GAUGAACGCUGACAGAAUGCUUAACACAUGCAAGUCAACUUGAAUUUGGGUUUUUAACUUAGAUUUGGGUGGCGGACGGGUGAGUAACGCGUAAAGAACUUGCCUCACAGCUAGGGACAACAUUUAGAAAUGAAUGCUAAUACCUAAUAUUAUGAUAAUAGGGCAUCCUAUAAUUAUGAAAGCUAUAUGCGCUGUGAGAGAGCUUUGCGUCCCAUUAGCUAGUUGGAGAGGUAACGGCUCACCAAGGCGAUGAUGGGUAGCCGGCCUGAGAGGGUGAUCGGCCACAAGGGGACUGAGACACGGCCCUUACUCCUACGGGAGGCAGCAGUGGGGAAUAUUGGACAAUGGACCGAGAGUCUGAUCCAGCAAUUCUGUGUGCACGAUGAAGUUUUUCGGAAUGUAAAGUGCUUUCAGUUGGGAAGAAAGAAAUGACGGUACCAACAGAAGAAGUGACGGCUAAAUACGUGCCAGCAGCCGCGGUAAUACGUAUGUCACGAGCGUUAUCCGGAUUUAUUGGGCGUAAAGCGCGUCUAGGUGGUUAUAUAAGUCUGAUGUGAAAAUGCAGGGCUCAACUCUGUAUUGCGUUGGAAACUGUAUAACUAGAGUACUGGAGAGGUAAGCGGAACUACAAGUGUAGAGGUGAAAUUCGUAGAUAUUUGUAGGAAUGCCGAUGGGGAAGCCAGCUUACUGGACAGAUACUGACGCUGAAGCGCGAAAGCGUGGGUAGCAAACAGGG
rnacentral:rRNA from 1 species